AUGGGUAGGGGAGCGUCGUGUGCCGGGUGAAGCAGCCGCGGAAGCGAGUUGUGGACGGUUCACGAGUGAGAAUGCAGGCAUGAGUAGCGAUACACACGUGAGAAACGUGUGCGCCGAUUGACUAAGGGUUCCUGGGUCAAGCUGAUCUGCCCAGGGUAAGUCGGGACCUAAGGCGAGGCCGACAGGCGUAGUCGAUGGACAACCGGUUGAUAUUCCGGUACCCGCUUUGAAACGCCCAGUACUGAAUCAGGCGAUGCUAAGUCCGUGAAGCCGGCCCGAUCUCUUCGGAGUUGAGGGUAGUGGUGGAGCCGAUGAACCAGACUUGUAGUAGGUAAGCGAUGGGGUGACGCAGGAAGGUAGUCCAGCCCGGGCGGUGGUUGUCCCGGGGUAAGGGUGUAGGACGUUGUGUAGGCAAAUCCGCACAACAUGAGUCUGAGACCUGAUGCCGAGCCGAUUGUGGUGAAGUGGAUGAUCCUAUGCUGUCGAGAAAAGCCUCUAGCGAGUUUCAUGGCGGCCCGUACCCUAAACCGACUCAGGUGGUCAGGUAGAGAAUACCGAGGCGUUCGGGUGAACUAUGGUUAAGGAACUCGGCAAAAUGCCCCCGUAACUUCGGGAGAAGGGGGGCCAUCACCGGUGAUAGCACUUGCUGCUUGAGCUGGGGGUGGCCGCAGAGACCAGCGAGAAGCGACUGUUUACUAAAAACACAGGUCCGUGCGAAGCCGUAAGGCGAUGUAUACGGACUGACGCCUGCCCGGUGCUGGAACGUUAAGGGGACCGGUUAGCUGCCUUUCGGGGUGGCGAAGCUGAGAACUUAAGCGCCAGUAAACGGCGGUGGUAACUAUAACCAUCCUAAGGUAGCGAAAUUCCUUGUCGGGUAAGUUCCGACCUGCACGAAUGGCGUAACGACUUCUCGACUGUCUCAACCAUAGGCCCGGUGAAAUUGCACUACGAGUAAAGAUGCUCGUUUCGCGCAGCAGGACGGAAAGACCCCGGGACCUUUACUAUAGUUUGAUAUUGGUGUUCGGUUCGGCUUGUGUAGGAUAGGUGGGAGACUUUGAAGCGGCCACGCCAGUGGUUGUGGAGUCGUCGUUGAAAUACCACUCUGGUCGUGCUGGAUGUCUAACCUGGGUCCGUGAUCCGGAUCAGGGACAGUGUCUGAUGGGUAGUUUAACUGGGGCGGUUGCCUCCUAAAGAGUAACGGAGGCGCCCAAAGGUUCCCUCAGCCUGGUUGGUAAUCAGGUGUUGAGUGUAAGUGCACAAGGGAGCUUGACUGUGAGACCGACGGGUCGAGCAGGGACGAAAGUCGGGACUAGUGAUCCGGCAGUGGCUUGUGGAAGCGCUGUCGCUCAACGGAUAAAAGGUACCCCGGGGAUAACAGGCUGAUCUUCCCCAAGAGUCCAUAUCGACGGGAUGGUUUGGCACCUCGAUGUCGGCUCGUCGCAUCCUGGGGCUGGAGUCGGUCCCAAGGGUUGGGCUGUUCGCCCAUUAAAGCGGUACGCGAGCUGGGUUUAGAACGUCGUGAGACAGUUCGGUCCCUAUCCGCUGUGCGCGUAGGAAUAUUGAGAAGGGCUGUCCCUAGUACGAGAGGACCGGGACGGACGAACCUCUGGUGUGCCAGUUGUCCUGCCAAGGGCAUGGCUGGUUGGCUACGUUCGGAAAGGAUAACCGCUGAAAGCAUCUAAGCGGGAAGCCUGCUUCGAGAUGAGUAUUCCCACCAACUUGAUUGGUUAAGGCUCCCAGUAGACGACUGGGUUGAUAGGCCAGAUGUGGAAGCCCGGUAACGGGUGGAGCUGACUGGUACUAAUAGGCCGAGGGCUUGUCCUC
rnacentral:rRNA from 1 species